rnacentral:rRNA from 1 species
UACGUAAGUGGCGAGCGUUAUCCGGAAUUACUGGGCGUAAAGCGUGCGUAGGCGGUUUAGUGUGUGGGAUUUGAAAGUCCAGGGCUCAACCCUGGGAUGCCGGUCGAUACUGCCGGACUAGAGUUCAGAAGAGGCGAGUGGAAUUCCCGGUGUAGCGGUGAAAUGCGCAGAUAUCGGGAGGAACACCAAUGGCGAAGGCAGCUCGCUGGGACGUUACUGACGCUGAGACGCGAAAGCGUGGGGAGCAAACAGG